GGGGGUGUAGCUCAGUGGUAGAGCAUGUGCUUGGUGGGCAUAAGGUCCUGGGUUUGAUCCAUAGCACCAAUG
rnacentral:tRNA from 1 species